rnacentral:lncRNA from 1 species
CUGGGAAUUGCCAAAAGAAGAAAAGGGGUUUCUCUCUCCUCACGGAAAACUUUCGUUCGAGACUUUCACGAACGCGAAAGUGGGCGCUGUCCAAUCUCGGCAAGCAAAUGUCGGCCGGCGGCUUAGACCUCACGCGUGUCUUCUCACGCCGCCUGUCGCUCGAUCUGUGCCGCCCAUCUGUGCUUGUUUGCCUUUGCUUCGAAUCCCGAAUCAGAUAAAAACGCUCCUUUUGCUCUUCUUAGACCGACCCACUCCACGUUUCCACUUUCGAAACAGCUGUCGAUGGCGCUCUCUCGCUGCGGGGCCUCUCUGCGAGGAACCCCUGUGGAGCUCGCCGUUGAAAGCUUUUCUUCCCCGGGCAAGCUUCUUGGAGUCCCGCGUGCACGUCUCUCGUCUGUGCGCGCUUCACAGAACCCUCACGCGUCUGCUGAGCAACCUCUGUGGGACUCUCGAACGCUGCCAAGCCUCCGCCUUGCAGGUAGCCGCGCAGUUCGUCCCUGCCCCGAGGCGCCUGCGGCGCCAACUGCUCUCGGGCGUCACCGCUCCGCCUUUUUUCCUUCGCCUGGCUGCCGUACUUUCUCUUCAUCUUCUCCAUCGAUUGCAUCUCCCUGCGCGCACGCUUCUUUCUGGCAUUCGCCUGUCGGUCCGUCUUCUGUCCUAGACACGAACUCCCCGUCAACAUCCCCCUCCUCGUGCGGGUCUCUUUCUUCUCUUUCACCCGUUUCUCUGUCUGAUCCUUUCCCGCUCUGUGGAUCCUUCGAACGGAGAGAGAGUGGGUGGAUGUUGCCUGACCCCGGAAAACAGCGUUUGUUUUUCUGGCGCUCGCCUUCCGAGGCCGUUCCGCGGAUGUGUUUGCAGAAACCGAGGGCGUGGGGGGGAGGCUAUCUGGAAAGAGGCGUGGAUUUGAAGCUGGAGCCGCAAGGCGAAGGACAUUUUCGCGGCGCGUUGCUCACAUCACGACGGAAGCAAACGCUCCCGUCACCUGUCGUCCCGUCCGCUUCCAGCGUACAUACAGCCUGCGCGGUUCCACUGCGAGCGCCAGGGGUUGAGCUAGCGAAAGAAAGCGGCAGCUGUGACCGGGAAGAAGACGCAGAGAGCAGAGAAAUCACCUCGUGGUGGAGAUCGGGAGAAAUAGGGACGCGAGAACCCUCUGUGGGUGGGCGCGAGGCAGGGGGGAAUUGUCUCGAGUGUUCCGAUAGGAAACGAAAGAUCUUGAAUGGGACAGAGUACAUUCGCAGGAAGAGCUCACAUAGAGGGCGGAUUAAGAGAGGCAGUCAAGCACCGGCUUACAAGCGGUGAGGAGGCAGAGGAGCACGGAGGUAGAGUGGGAAAACACGCCCGCGGUGAAGAUUAGUCGACGGACACGGGUUGUUGUCGCUAAAGCGCUUGUGGACGUGGAAGCUAUGAAAGGCGCAUACGCCUUCAACUGCGGACUGGCCAGCUGCUCGGUCACGUGUGUGAAGCGUCGGAUGGCGGGUCUGGUUUCGUUAAACGACAAAGAGGAGUAGACUGCCACACUCGGACUUUCCGUGAAUGUUACACUCACGAGUAGUGAUGCGCAGCCCCUCUUCAGUUUGCAAAGUGCCGUUUCGGUUUCCUUUCAAGGUGCUGGUUUCAACAGACAGAGACUCCCCGGUCGUCGAACUGUUUUUGUUUUAAAUCUGUCCUACCUCUCCGUACGCUUGCUCCGUCACACGGAUAGAAACUCUCCAUUUCUUCUUCUUUGUUCGCCAUCUACAACUGGAAAGACGGUAGAACAGUUAUGAGAGCCACAAAUCGCGUCGUGCUGCAUUUGCCAGAGCAGCUGUUCACAGAAAAGGGCAACUCGGAUAUCGUUGAGGAGGCGUUUUUUCUCGCAGCAAAAAGCCGGUGUAGAAAAGCUGUUUUGUUCUUUUGCGUGACCACGAGUGUUUGGAGAGACUGUGUUUGAGAAAGACAAUUCUUUUUAACUUAAGUAUCCUGCAACAUCC